AUUGAACGCUGGCGGCAGGCCUAACACAUGCAAGUCGAGCGGAUGACGGGAGCUUGCUCCUUGAUUCAGCGGCGGACGGGUGAGUAAUGCCUAGGAAUCUGCCUGGUAGUGGGGGACAACGUUUCGAAAGGAACGCUAAUACCGCAUCCGUCCUACGGGAGAAAGCAGGGGACCUUCGGCCCUCGCGCUAUCAGAUGAGCCUAGGUCGGAUUAGCUCGGAGGUGAGGUAAUGGGUCACCUAGGCGACGAUCCGUAACUGGUCUGAGAGGAUGAUCAGUCACACUGGAACUGAGACACGGUCCAGACUCCUACGGGAGGCAGCAGUGGGGAAUAUUGGACAAUGGGCGAAAGCCUGAUCCAGCCAUGCCGCGUGUGUGAAGAAGGUCUUCGGAUUGUAAAGCACUUUAAGUUGGGAGGAAGGGCAGUAAGCUAAUACCUUGCUGUUUUGACGUUACCGACAGAAUAAGCACCGGCUAACUCUGUGCCAGCCGCCGCCGUAACAC
rnacentral:rRNA from 1 species